rnacentral:rRNA from 1 species
CCCUUAGAUGUUCUGGGCCGCACGCGCGCUACAAUGAUGAAUUCACCGAGUUUAUAACCUUGGUUGAAAAGCCUGGGUAAUCUUUUGAACUUUCGUCGUGAUGGGGCUAGACCCUUGCAAUUAUUGGUCUCCAACGAGGAAUUCCUAGUAAACGCAAGUCAUCAGCUUGCAUUGAUUACGUCCCUGCCCUUUGUACACACCGCCCGUCGCACCUACCGAUUGAAUGGUCCGGUGAAAUCUUCGGAUUGAGACUUUGAUUUCUUCACGGAAAACGCUGUUUUAAGAAGUUGAUUAAACCUUACCAUUUAGAGGAAGGUGAAGUCGUAACA